rnacentral:rRNA from 1 species
AACGAACGCUGGCGGCAGGCCUAACACAUGCAAGUCGAACGGUUCCUUCGGGGACAGUGGCGGACGGGUGAGUAACGCGUGGGAACGUGCCUUCCAGUUCGGAAUAACCCAGGGAAACUUGGGCUAAUACCGGAUACGUCCUUUGGGAGAAAGAUUUUAUCGCUGGAAGAUCGGCCCGCGUCUGAUUAGCUGGUUGGUGGGGUAACGGCCUACCAAGGCGACGAUCAGUAGCUGGUCUGAGAGGAUGAUCAGCCACACUGGGACUGAGACACGGCCCAGACUCCUACGGGAGGCAGCAGUGGGGAAUAUUGGACAAUGGGCGCAAGCCUGAUCCAGCCAUGCCGCGUGAGUGAUGACGGCCUUAGGGUUGUAAAGCUCUUUCGGCGGGGACGAUAAUGACGGUACCCGCAGAAGAAGCCCCGGCUAACUUC